rfam:Hypsizygus marmoreus strain 51987-8 scaffold_15, whole genome shotgun sequence.
GACCAGAUAGCUCAGUGGUUAGAGCAUCCCCCUAGUGUUGGAAAGGUCUCAGGUUCAAUCCCUGAUCUGGCCA